rnacentral:rRNA from 1 species
CGAAGAGGGGAAACAAUGGAACGGGGCUAAUUCGCUAAAGCCUUCGGGCCAAGGAGGGACUUUAGGCCCUUCCGCCCAAAAAUCCUAGGGGGAUAGCUAAUUGGGAGGAAUGGCUCCCCAAGGGGACGUCCCUAGUUGUUUGGGAGGUGAUCAGCCCCCUGGACUGAGCCCCGUCCAGAUCCUUCGGGGGCAGCAGUGGGAAUUUGCCCAAUGGCGAAACCUGAGCAGCCAUCCCCGUGAAGAAGAAGCCUUCGGGUUGUAAGUACUUUCAGUUUGAGGAAGGGGUAGGGUAAUAGCGCUAUCUCUUGACGUUAGCAACAGAAGAAGCACCGGCUAACUCCGUGCCAGCAGCCGCGGUAAUACGGAGGGUGCGAGCGUUAAUCGGAAUUACUGGGCGUAAAGCGCAUGCAGGUGGUUCAUUAAGUCAGAUGUGAAAGCCCGGGGCUCAACCUCGGAACUGCAUUUGAAACUGGUGAACUAGAGUACUGUAGAGGGGGGUAGAAUUUCAGGUGUAGCGGUGAAAUGCGUAGAGAUCUGAAGGAAUACCAGUGGCGAAGGCGGCCCCCUGGACAGAUACUGACACUCAGAUGCGAAAGCGUGGGGAGCAAACAGGAUUAGAUACCCUGGUAGUCCACGCCGUAAACGAUGUCUACUUGGAGGUUGUGGCCUUGAGCCGUGGCUUUCGGAGCUAACGCGUUAAGUAGACCGCCUGGGGAGUACGGUCGCAAGAUUAAAACUCAAAUGAAUUGACGGGGGCCCGCACAAGCGGUGGAGCAUGUGGUUUAAUUCGAUGCAACGCGAAGAACCUUACCUACUCUUGACAUCCAGAGAAGCCAGCGGAGACGCAGGUGUGCCUUCGGGAACUCUGAGACAGGUGCUGCAUGGCUGUCGUCAGCUCGUGUUGUGAAAUGUUGGGUUAAGUCCCGCAACGAGCGCAACCCUUAUCCUUGUUUGCCAGCGAGUAAUGUCGGGAACUCCAGGGAGACUGCCGGUGAUAAACCGGAGGAAGGUGGGGACGACGUCAAGUCAUCAUGGCCCUUACGAGUAGGGCUACACACGUGCUACAAUGGCGCAUACAGAGGGCAGCAAGCUAGCGAUAGUGAGCGAAUCCCAAAAAGUGCGUCGUAGUCCGGAUUGGAGUCUGCAACUCGACUCCAUGAAGUCGGAAUCGCUAGUAAUCGUGAAUCAGAAUGUCACGGUGAAUACGUUCCCGGGCCUUGUACACACCGCCUGUCACACCAUGGGAGUGGGCUGCAAAAGAAGUGGGUAGUUAACCUUCGGGAGACGCUCACCACUUGUA